UCUGUCGUGGCCGAGUGGUUAAGGCAAUGGACUAGAUAUCCAUUGGGAUCUUCCCACGCAGGUUUGAAUCCUGCUGACAACGGCAGAG